CGUUCCGGGCCUUGUACACACCGCCCGUCACACCACGAAAGUCGGCAACACCCGAAGUCAGUGGCCCAACCCGCAAGGGGGGAGCUGCCGAAGGUGGGGUUGGUGAUUGGGGUG
rnacentral:rRNA from 1 species